ensembl:snRNA U2 U2 spliceosomal RNA
AUCACUUCUCGGCCUUUUGGCUAAGAUCAAGUGUAGCUAGCUAGCUAGCUAGCUAGCUAGAUUGCUAUGGCACUCCCAUGAUCCAAUCACUUCCC